CAUAAAGUGAACUAGGGUUCCGACAGCGCAAUGAAAAUGUGGCUGUGCUGUGACCGAGAGUUUACGGCUCAAUUGAGCUACACGGAGGGAUAAAAGCCCGGGAGGU
rnacentral:sRNA from 2 species